rnacentral:rRNA from 1 species
AGCCGUCGAAGGUGGGGCUGGCGAUUGGGACGAAGUCGUAACAAGGUAGCCGUACCGGAAGGUGCGGCUGGAUCACCUCCUUUCUAAGGAG